rnacentral:rRNA from 1 species
CUAUGCGCCUUGCCAGCCCGCUCAGGUGUGCCAGCCGCCGCGGUAAUACGUAGGUGGCAAGCGUUGUCCGGAUUUAUUGGGCGUAAAGCGAGUGCAGGCGGUUCAAUAAGUCUGACGUGAAAGCCUUCGGCUCAACCGGAGAAUUGCAUCAGAAACUGUUGAACUUGAGUGCAGAAGAGGAGAGUGGAACUCCAUGUGUAGCGGUGGAAUGCGUAGAUAUAUGGAAGAACACCAGUGGCGAAGGCGGCUCUCUGGUCUGCAACUGACGCUGAGGCUCGAAAGCAUGGUAGCGAACAGG